rnacentral:rRNA from 1 species
GACGAACGCUGGCGGCGUGCUUAACACAUGCAAGUCGAACGAAGUGGCGAACGGGUGAGUAACGCGUAAUCAACCUGCCCUUCAGAGGGGGACAACAGUUGGAAACGACUGCUAAUACCGCAUACUGAAGGAGGGGAUUGCGUCUGAUGUGCUAGUUGGAGGGGUAACGGCCAACCAAGGCGAGGAUCAGUAGCCGGGCUGAGUGGAGUAACUUGCCACUUGGUACUGAGAACCGGUCCAGACUUCUACGGGAGGCAGGAGGGGGGAAGUUUCCGCCAUUGACGAAAGUCUGACGGAGCAACGCCCAGGUGGUGAUGACGGCCUUCGGGUUUUAAAGCUCUGUUAAUCGGGACGCGGUACCGGAAUAGAAAGCCACGGCUAACUACGUGCCAGCAGCCGCGGUAAUAC